rnacentral:rRNA from 1 species
UUCCGAGAGUCCAUAUCGACGAGGCGGUUUGGCACCUCGAUGUCGGCUCAUCCUAUCCUGGGGCUGGAGAAGGUCCCAAGGGUCCGGCUGUUCGCCGGUUAAAAGGGUACGCGAGCUGGGUUCAGAACGUCGUGAGACAGUGAGACUUUAGCGCAUUAGAACGCGCUAAUAAAAAGCUGUCCGAUUUCCGAUGUUCUUUGGAAAUCCCAUCGAGAUAUUAUUGCUGUUAUAUAGUAUUGAAAUCAUCCUGAGCAUAAAAUAUGUGAGGGAAAAAUCUGACUAAAUGCUGGAAACUCCGAGUAUGUUGUGUUACCGCACGCAAUGUGGUAAAAAUACACAACUGCGGACAAUCAGCAGGAAAGACUUGUAGAAAGGUGGUGAAAAAUAUGGCAGGACCUGCAGAAGGUGAAGAGAGAGGAAAACCUAUUGAGUUAACCCCCGAUAAAGUCGAGGAUCUCAAUCGGAGAGUUUCUGAAGCACUAACAUUUGCAAAACAGCUAGAAGAAGAGAAGCCCGAAGAUGCAAAUGAUGGGCUAGUUCCAAUUGAAUAAUUUCUACAAGUAAUCCUCAGAGACUAUACGUCAGAUCCGGAUGGUCCCGCCAAGCGGGAUAAUAUCUGGAAAGAUAUAGUCCGAACUGCAUAGCGAUAUGCAGAGUGUCUAUAGAAAUAUAGCACCUCGUGAAAAACGAGUAACAUUUUUGUCGGUCUCUAUCCUGUGCAAGCGUUUGAUUUUUGAGGGGAGUUCUCCCUAGUACGAGAGGACCGGGAGGAACAGAUCCCUGGUGUGCCUAUUGUCGGACAACCGGCAUCGUAGGGUAGCUAGAUCUGGAAGGGAUAAGCGCUGAAAGCAUCUCAAGUGCCAAGCCCACCCCAAGAUGAAAAAUCGUUAUAGACCCCCCGUAGAUGACGGGGUUGAUAGGCGAGACAUGUACGCACCGUAAGGUGUUUAGUGUACUCGUACUAAUCGGUCGAAGU